rnacentral:misc_RNA from 1 species
GAUGUCACGAACAUAAGCCUUCUCUAGCUUCUCUGUUGCUUUGAUAAUAGCAAAGAGUUCAGCUAAGUUGUCAUACAUUUCUCUUUCACGCUUGUCAUUCCAUAGCUUAACCUCCAUUUGAGUUUUCAAGUAUAUUUGAAAUAGGAAACCUUUUACAAUAGGGUUGGAGAAGAGAAUGGGACACGCGCAAAGAUGCUAAUCUUUGUCACUCAAAGAUCAUGAACAUGGCAGAUAAGAGCUCAAAAGAUGAAUAACAUGGCAAGCACUGAACCAAAAACAAAAAUAAAAUCUGAGCAGGUGAAAAAAAUGAUUAUGCAAAGAGCAAAGUAUGAAAAAGAGAGAAGAUAGAGACGUAUGUACAGAGAGAAGAAAUGGAAGACGCGGCUUUGAAUAAUG